CAGCCUCCUGAGUAGCUGGUAUACUCCUGAGUAGCUGAGAUUCAGCGUCCUGAGUAGCUGAGUAACAGACUUCCAUUGAGAAAAUUUCCAACUUUCUGCUCUGAAGAGAGAGAAGUCUUUUAUCUCAGUGGAAGAGGACACGUUCUGUUUUCAUGGAGUAACAUCCCUAUCUGCUGGCCUUCCAAAAUAUUGCCACUGCAGACAAAGAGUUUCUGAGGCAGAAGCAUGAUGGCUCUAUCUCCACUCCACCAACCCCUGCAUCCUGAGCCAGCCAGGUCCAGAAGCAGGAGGCGGGCAAAACCCCAUGCUGGUCUCUCUCUCUCUCUCUCUAAUCAAGAGCCUACUUCCCUGGAAGCCCUGACAAAUUCCACUUCACAAGUCUAUUAUAGCCUAAAUCACACACUGCCUUAGACUUAUCCUGUGUAGCAGUCUGACUUCCCCCUCUGAAGAUAGGGAUUAUUUCUUAUUAUUAUAGAGUCCUAAGUGCCAUCAGUGUCUAGCAUACAUUAGGCCGUCAAUAAAAUAUUGGCUGAACAAAAAUUUACCAUAAAGGAUAGAGUGUCCUAAGUUGCUUAAAAGUGUGCAUUAACUACCUGAUGAGACUUCAGCUUGUGUUACAGCUGCUUUUGUGAAAUAAAGAUUGUCCAUUUCUUUUUAUGAUUAUUUUAAAGCAGCUUUUAUG
rnacentral:lncRNA from 10 species